AUGACUGCACAUUCCUUCUCAACUUCUCAUCCACAAAAAGUCAAAAACAAACAAGUCAUUCAUCAUCUUUUCCUUGUGUCCACCAUUGCCAACGUGAGUUCUGGGUUGAGAGAUUGCCACCAGGGAGAGGCAAGCCUGGAAGCAGGAGCACGAGAGAUGUCCCGCCUCACCGCGAAAGGAGCCAACAUGUCUCGCCGCACGGUCGUAGCAGCAGAGAGGUCCCGCCGCGCCGUCGAAGCAGCACGAAGGACCCGCUGCGUCGUUGAUGCAGCAGACUGGUUCGGCCGCGUCGCAGAAGCAGAAGAGAUGUCCCGCCGCGCCGCGAAUGCAGCAGAGAUGUCCUCCCACGCCGCAGAGGCCUGGGAAAUUGCCUCGCGGACAGGCGCAUGCGUGCCCUCGUCCUUAGGCAGAUGGAUUAGAUCUCCAGGUGGACGAGGUUGCAGGAUGACCUGCAAGCCUCGUUUGAACAGUCUACCGACGUCAUCCGGCAACUAA
rnacentral:rRNA from 1 species